rnacentral:rRNA from 1 species
UACGUAGGGUGCGAGCGUUGUCCGGAUUUAUUGGGCGUAAAGAGCUUGUAGGCGGCUCGUCGCGUCGGGUGUGAAAACUUGCGGCUCAACCGCAAGCCUGCACCCGAUACGGGCGGGCUAGAGUUCGGCAGGGGAGACUGGAAUUCCUGGUGUAGCGGUGGAAUGCGCAGAUAUCAGGAGGAACACCGGUGGCGAAGGCGGGUCUCUGGGCCGUAACUGACGCUGAGGAGCGAAAGCAUGGGGAGCGAACAGG